CGGCAUCCCCAUUACCUAUGGACACGGUGCCGCAGGCUCUUCCGGAAAAUUCUUUUCCGGAUCCUGCAGGAAAAAUUUUCCGUGUCCAG
rnacentral:ncRNA from 1 species